UUAUAAAACCGACAGCAGCGAAAAUCCUUUUUGGUCGCAGCAGCCCUGAAUGUACUGUCAUGCUGAGGUACAAAGCAUCUGCAGCCGAUGAAACAGAUGCUUCGUGCAUCAGCAUACAAUAAUCACAAAAAGAUUGAAGCGGAUGGCGGGAACAAAU
rnacentral:sRNA from 1 species